rnacentral:rRNA from 1 species
UAAAGGUAUAAAGGGCUCACGGAGGAUGCCUAGGUAGCGGGAGGCGAAGAAGGGCGUGGCCAGCUGCGAAAAGCCGCGUGUAGGUGCAAGCGACCAUAGAAGCGCGGAUGCCCGAAUGGGGAAACCCACUAGGUAGAGAUACUUGGUAUCCUGAAAAGGAAGCGAACCUUGCGAACUGAAACAUCUUAGUAGCGAGAGGAAAAGAAAUCGAAGAGAUUCCCUGAGUAGCGGCGAGCGAAACGGGAAGAGCCUAAACCUAUAUAGUGUAAGCGUACGGGCGUUGCUAUAUAGGGGUAGAGGGAUAUAUACGGGUCUGACCGUACAGGGCCGGGAGAAGCCAAAGGCUAGUCGAACUAUCUGGGAAGAUAGACCGGAGAAGGUGAAAGUCCUGUAGGCGAAAGUUAGAGGCUAUCCUUGUAUAUAUCCCGAGUAGCGCGGGGCACGAGGAAUCCCGCGUGAAUCUGGGGAGACCACUCUCUAAGGCUAAAUACUACCUGCUGACCGAUAGCGAAAAAGUACCGUGAGGGAAAGGUGAAAAGCACCCCGGGAGGGGAGUGAAAGAGUACCUGAAACCGUGAGUCUACGAUAAGUGGGAGCACGAAAGUGCGACCGCGUGCCUUUUGAUUAAUGAGCCUGCGAGUUACCGUAACUGGCGAGGUUAAUCCGAGAUAGGAGAAGCCGAAGGGAAACCGAGUCUUAACAGGGCGGAAGUCAGUUGCGAUAGACCCGAAACCGGGUGAGCUAUCCAUGGGCAGGUUGAAGGUGGGGUAACACCCACUGGAGGACCGAACCAGUUAGCAGUAAAAAGCUAUUGGAUGACCUGUGGAUAGGAGUGAAAAGCUAACCGAACUCGGUGAUAUCUGGUACUCCUCGAAACGUGUUUAAGCACGGCCUUGCAUGGUUAGUGGAGGGGGUAGAGCACUGAUUGGGCUAGGGGGGCGACCUCCAACCCCAGUCAAACUCCGAAUACCUCUACUCAAAGUGCAGGAGACAGACUGCGAGCGAUAAGGUCCGUAGUCGAGAGGGAAACAGCCCAGACCACCAGCUAAGGGCCCAGAGAGAUAGCUAAGUGUUAAAGGAAGUGGAGAGUCAAAGACAGCUAGGAUGUUGGCUUAGAAGCAGCCAUCAUUAAAAGAGUGCGUAACAGCUCACUAGUCGAGACUCACCGCGCCGAAGAUGUAAGGGGGCUAAAGCUAUCCUCCGAAGCUGUGGAACAGGAAACUGUUGGUAGAGGAGCAUUGUGUUGUAGGGAGAAGGCAGACCCGUGAGGGCUGUUGGACGAGACACAAGAGAGAAUGCAGGCAUGAGUAAACGAAAGGAGAGUGAGAAUCUCUCCCCCCGAAAGCCUAAGGGUACCUGGGGAAGGUUCGUCCGCCCAGGGUUAGUCGAGACCCUAAGGGGAACCCGAAAGGGGUAACCGAUGGGAAACCGGUUAAUAUUCCGGUACUGGCGUAGCAUGAGUUUUGGGGUGUGACACAGGAGGAUAGGCGUUGCGUACUAGUUGCAUAGUGCGUCCAAGUUUCGAGUCCGGAGAUCGCGGCAGGGAAAUCCACCGCGGGAGGGUGAGGGACGAAUGGGAGUUCCUUCGGGAGCAACAACGUUGAGUUCACACUGUCUAGAAAAGCAUCGCAAAGCGUUUGAGUGCUAAGCCAAUCGUUCUGAAAACCGACACAGGUAGGCAAGCUGAGAAGGCUAAGGGGAGCGGGAUAACUCCUGUUAAGGAACUAGGCAAAUUAGCCCCGUAACUUAGGGAGAAGGGGUACUCUGGUUGGUUAAGAGCUGACUGGAGUCGCAGUGACAAGGCAGCGGCGACUGUUUACCAAAAACACAGGGCUCUGCGAAUUCGAGAAGAAGACGUAUAGGGUCUGACGCCUGCCCAGUGCUGGAAGGUUAAGGGGAAAGGUUAGCGUAAGCGAAGCUUUGAACCGAAGCCCCAGUAAACGGCGGCCGUAACUAUAACGGUCCUAAGGUAGCGAAAUUCCUUGUCGGGUAAGUUCCGACCUGCACGAAUGGCGUAACGA